AGAAAAAAGGCUCACUGGAUUGCUUGGCAGAAAAUGUGUGCGAGCAAGCAGGAGGGAGGGAUGGGUUUUCGUGAUGUGGAGGCUUUUAACCAAGCGUUACUAGCAAAGCAAGCGUGGAGAAUUAUGCAAGUCCCCUCCUCUCUGUGUGCGCGCGUCCUCAAGGCAUGAUACUUUGAUCAUGGAACAAUUCUCAAUGCAACAUGUCCGAGUGGUGCAUCCUAUACUUUCAGAAGCAUUCUGCAUGGCCGGGAU
rnacentral:rRNA from 1 species